AACAACUUUGGAAACAAUGCCU
rnacentral:misc_RNA from 1 species